GAUGAACGCUGGCGGCGUGCUUAACACAUGCAAGUCGAACGGAAAGGCCACAGCUUGCUGUGGUACUCGAGUGGCGAAAGGGUGAGUAACACGUGGGUGAUCUGCCCUGUACUUCGGGAUAAGCUUGGGAAACUGGGUCUAAUACCGGAUAGGAAUCACAUGUGGGUGUGUGGUUGGAAAGCUUUUGCGGUAUGGGAUGAGCUCGCGGCCUAUCAGCUUGUUGGUGGGGUAAUGGCCUACCAAGGCGUCGACGGGUAGCCGGCCUGAGAGGGUGUACGGCCACAUUGGGACUGAGAUACGGCCCAGACUCCUACGGGAGGCAGCAGUGGGGAAUAUUGCACAAUGGGCGCAAGCCUGAUGCAGCGACGCCGCGUGGGGGAUGACGGCCUUCGGGUUGUAAACUCCUUUCGUCAGGGACGAAGCGAAAGUGACGGUACCUGGAUAAGAAGCACCGGCUAACUACGUG
rnacentral:rRNA from 1 species